CGGCUACCUUGUUACGACUUAGCCCUAGUUACCAGUUUUACCCUAGGCAGCUCCUAUUACGGUCACCGACUUCAGGUACCCCCAGCUUCCAUGGCUUGACGGGCGGUGUGUACAAGGCCCGGGAACGUAUUCACCGCAUCAUGGCUGAUAUGCGAUUACUAGCGAUUCCAGCUUCAUAGAGUCGAGUUGCAGACUCCAAUCCGAACUGAGAUAAGUUUUUGAGAUUCGCAUCUUGUUGCCAAGUAGCUGCCCUCUGUACUUACCAUUGUAGCACGUGUGUAGCCCAAGACGUAAGGGCCGUGAUGACUUGACGUCGUCCCCACCUUCCUCGCGGUUUGCACCGGCAGUCUCAUUAGAGUCCCCGUCUUUAAACGCUGGCAACUAAUGAUAGGGGUUGCGCUCGUUGCAGGACUUAACCUAACACCUCACGGCACGAGCUGACGACAGCCAUGCAGCACCUUGCAUUCUGUCCGAAGAAAAAACUAUUUCUAGUUCUGUCAAAUUGCAUUUAAGCCUUGGUAAGGUUCCUCGCGUAUCAUCGAAUUAAACCACAUGCUCCACCGCUUGUGCGGGCCCCCGUCAAUUCCUUUGAGUUUCAUUCUUGCGAACGUACUCCCCAGGUGGGAUACUUAUAACUUUCGCUUAGCCACUGAAUCCGAAAAUCCAACAGCAAGUAUCCAUCGUUUACGGCGUGGACUACCAGGGUAUCUAAUCCUGUUCGCUCCCCGCGCUUUCGUCCAUCAGCGUCAGUUGAUGUUUAGUCACCUGCCUUCGCAAUUGGUGUUCUGCGUAAUAUCUAAGCAUUUCACCGCUACACUACACAUUCCAGCAACUUCAACAUCACUCAAGACUAACAGUAUCAAUGGCAGUUUCAUAGUUAAGCUAUGAGAUUUC
rnacentral:rRNA from 1 species